rnacentral:rRNA from 1 species
UCCAGACUCCUACGGGAGGCAGCAGUGGGGAAUAUUGCACAAUGGGGGAAACCCUGAUGCAGCGACGCCGCGUGAGCGAAGAAGUAUUUCGGUAUGUAAAGCUCUAUCAGCAGGGAAGAAAAUGACGGUACCUGACUAAGAAGCCCCGGCUAACUACGUGCCAGCAGCCGCGGUAAUACGUAGGGGGCAAGCGUUAUCCGGAUUUACUGGGUGUAAAGGGAGCGUAGACGGCAGCGCAAGUCUGAAGUGAAAUGCUGGGGCUUAACCCCGGAACUGCUUUGGAAACUGUGCAGCUAGAGUGCAGGAGAGGUAAGUGGAAUUCCUAGUGUAGCGGUGAAAUGCGUAGAUAUUAGGAGGAACACCAGUGGCGAAGGCGGCUUACUGGACUGUAACUGACGUUGAGGCUCGAAAGCGUGGGGAGCAAACAGGAUUAGAUACCCCAGUAGA